rnacentral:rRNA from 10 species
AUGCUUACGGCCAUACCACCAUAGGCACGCCCGAUCUCGUCUGAUCUCGGAAGCUAAGCAGGGUCGGGCCUGGUUAGUACUUGGAUGGG